UACGUAGGGUGCAAGCGUUGUCCGGAAUUAUUGGGCGUAAAGCGCACGUAGGCGGCCUCGCAAGUCGAGUGUGAAAGCCCCGGGCUCAACCUGGGAAUUGCGCUCGAGACUGUGGUGCUGGAGUUCGGGAGAGGAGCGUGGAAUUCCCAGUGUAGAGGUGAAAUUCGUAGAUAUUGGGAAGAACACCGGUGGCGAAGGCGGCGCUCUGGACCGAGACUGACGCUGAGGCGCGAAGGCGUGGGGAGCAAACAGG
rnacentral:rRNA from 1 species